GCUCUCCGGGUCUCCGUGUAUGCAUUUCCAACAUAUUCUUCAACAAAUUAUAAUAGUAAAUCAUAUUAAUCAAUAUUUUUAUUUUUAAGUUGCCGCGUUUCCAGACACAUAUUCGACAGUGUUACCACACAAUAACCAAUAAAGUCAGUUGUCUGCUUGCUUAGCUGAGCUCGAUGUCAGCUGAUAUCGUGUAACUAGUAAACACGCGUUGUGUGUUCGUCGAGUAAAUACGCGUUUCUUUCUUCGAAUAAUUUUGACGCGCCGAGUGAUUAGUAAUGUUUAAUAGUUAAAUGUUUCGUACUAUUUUUUUGAUGUGUAAAUAAAUUCGGUCAAUGAUAAAAUGUAAGAAGAAAGAAAAAAAGACUUUUAAUCCGAUAAACUGAAGGAUGGAUCGUGAGAACAAUCAAUUGAUUGUAGGAUGGUACGUGCGUAAACAGGUUCAAACAAGUUCUCUUUUCCCUCUCUUUCCUCUCUCUCUCUCUCUCUCUCUCUCUCUCUCUCUCUUUGUCACCUAUUCAUUUCUUCCUUUAUUACAUAAUAUUCGGGUAAUUCAAAAUACUAAAUACCAUCGUUAAAGAUAAUUGAGAUGAUUAUCGAUUAUUGAGCGCAGCAGAUUCCUCGCGGUGCUCGUGGUGCCUGCGAGCAGCGGUGAAUUGUGCCACCCUUGCUUACCUCUUGUAUCCGAUUCAAGAUACGUAAACUAUUUCUUAUAUCUAAAAAUCUAAGCUCUGGAUAAUUUUUUGCGAAAGAAAAAGUUAACUCAGAAUAUUACUAAGAAUACGUCUAUGCAAGGACAUAUAGUUAUUUUGAAUCACCCUGUAUAUAUAUAAACUACAAGACAAAAUUAAAGGAAUAAAAGUUUGAAGUAGCGCCAUAUUCGUAAAAGUUGAGCAAAAAAUUUGAAUUUUUAAUAUGAUAUAGCCCAAAGUGUUGACUUGACUUCUGCAAAAUCUCCCCGCUGUGGGUCCAGUAGUUUUGGAGUUAUGCCCCUCGAAGAAACUCCCGGUCAAAAACAAAAAUUGCAAGGUUGUAACUAGGAAAGUACAGGACAAUCUAAUGCAAGAAACGAACCAGAAAAAUUCGGAAAUGGGCUAAGCCGGUUCUGUAGGUGUCGCUCAGAAUGUCUCUGGUGCGUCCUAUAUAUAUAUAUACACUGGUCACAGAAAUUAAGGGAUAUUUAAAAAAUCCCAAAUUUUUAGGUGAUCUUUAAAAGGCUGUAACUUGGAGAAAAAUAGUUGUAGAGAAAAAUAAAAAAAA